AGUGCACGGAGCUCCAGCAAGAAUGGGGUUCACACACCAAUAUUAGAGUGUAUAUGUGAUUUGACCUUACUGGAAUGAUGUUGGUAAGGGAAGCACAGCUCUCAAGCACAGGCUUUAUUGCUUGUAAUUUCAGACAAGAACAAUUUAAUUCCACCACUGGUUUUGUGCCUUCCUGAAGUGUCAGGUGUGUCCUGGGAGAGAAGAUUCUCUCUCAAUUAUCAGGAGUAAAAUCAGAUAAAAUACUGGCACCUGCAGCAAGAUCAACUCUGAGGUAUGCCUGCAAAAAGUCCUUGCAUCGUAUUUACACAAGCAUGUGUAGCAUUAGGAUGGAGAAUAAUGAGUCAAGAGGAUUAAUCUGAUGGUAAAUAGUUAAUUUACUAGCCUAGAAAUGCAGUUUGAAUCUUCACAUCCUAUCUUUAUUGGCCAACAUGUUGAACUGAAACAGUUGACUUUUGGAAGUAAAAUUCCUUGUAUCAGGUGCAUGUUGGUUUUAGUAAUUCAAAAUUAUUCAGCAAAAAUAAGGACAUUACAUUUUAAGCUUUGCUGCUUUUUUCCUCUUUAUUUCAAUUCUUAGAGAUUUAAAAAACUGAGCUGAUAAUCAGACCUAUGUAUUAUAGUGUAUUAUAUUGACACACAAGGGCCUGAUGCAUUUGGCAAUGUCUUUCAAACAUGAGAUUUGACUGAAUCAACGUAAAUUUUUGCAGCUCUUUGCUUCAGAAUUUAAAAAUAUAACAUUAACUUAAACAAUUUAAAGAUUAUUCCUUCAGAUUAUAGCAACGCAAGGUGUUCUUUCUGUUUACUUUUAUCUGUUUCAGCUAUUUUUCACUUCCUUUGCCAGGAAGUACCUUUUCUCUAAGUCUAGACCAGUGACAUACCAGCUCUUUUUGUUUAAAACUUCCAGCUGUGGUCUUGCUUCUGUAAUGUCUGUAUUUAGCUUUAUGUAUGUUUACAAAAUUGAAAACUGAGUACCUGAAAUGCCCAAUUUACCUCUCUUCAAAGCUUGCUUUAAAAAUGCCACCACUUUCAAGGUAAAAGAAAAAAGACUUUUAAGUCUCAGUUAAAUUUUACUCUGAUCUGUCCUGAAAGAAACAUAUGUCUAUGUGUGAAGGUGUGUUCUGCCCUUCUUAUCUGAUGUGGCUGAAGCAUGGUUUGGUGCCCAGAUAGCAUCUUAAUUUCUGCCAGAGGGUUUUUUUCUUUGUAGCAAGAAUAUGAGCAAAAUAAUGUUAUUACUGCUGUUUACAGAGGGUUCUUUCUGCAGCUCUUCACAAAGAAUAAAUCAUAUUGAAAGCAGCAAAUAUGGUGCAAGUGAUUUAAGGAUGCCUCUGUCAAUGCAGAAAUAAAAAUUAAGUAAAUGAUAGUACUGGAAUGAUUGGGCUGCACAGACACUUCUAUAUCAACUGAACUGGUCUGGGUUACUGGUGCAGUGCAAAUAUUAACAAGAAAUGUAUAAAAACCUUAGUAUUGGCAUGUAUAUAGAGAAGUUCAGCUGCUAGUGUUAUAUUUGCAGUGCAACGGCACUGAAAAAAAAAUGUGUUGAACAUCAGGAUCCAUUCUGUCCUGUAACAUACAGCAAGAAAAAAGGCCUGUCUCAGAGGACUUUGGAUGUAAAAGCACAAAAUACUAUUUACAGAAGGGUGGGAAAGAAGGCAAAGCAGUGUCAGCAAGUCACUCCACAACCUAAAGGCAGAAAACAGAGCUCUCUUCUCCUCUAGGUCAAGCCAGUUCUAGUUCCUGGGUUUUCUUGGGUGGUUUUAGCUAAGAUCUUCUGAGAGCCAAGCGCAGCAUGCCCGAUCUGGUUCAUCAUGCCUAUGAUCGUAAGAUGUGUCUGCUUUCCAAGAGACAAAGCUGGUAAGAAGUGGGACCUGGUACAUCUGGGCACAGUUUAUUCUAUAUUUACACAUAGUCUAAAUGUGUGUUGGAGUCAGCUGCCUGUAUAACCGUGCACAGGUAGCAGAUCUAUCCUCAGCCGCUCAGCUCAGCCAGGAGCCUGCCUGCAUUGCGGGAAGGCAUCCCAGCUCAGACAGCGAGUUUGGAGAAUCAUUCUGAAGUUAAAAAUAGUAAGUACUUGUAAGUCUUUUUGUGGUGACAUCAACUGCAUAGGCUAAUAAUUGAAAACAGAGAUUGGACCAGGCACAUUAUUAUUAUGUGCCAAAUACAGCUAAUCUCAGAUUUCUACAAUAAGCAAUGCUGUAUCUUUUAUAAAAACUUGUUUUCCUGCCUGAUUACCCUUUCAUAGAAGCAUAGCACAUGUUUUCACUGUAUUUUGGUUGUUAAAUCUUGUGGCUAAAUGCAGUGGUGUCUUUCAAGCAGGAUUUGAUUUGCCUUCAUAGUAGCAAUUUAUUCGGGUCAUUCUGUUUUGAACCAGAAAUAGUCACCAUGAAUUUUUGCCCAUCCUUUUAAAACUGUCGGGUCUAUAGAUGACAAGCGCUAUGCAAAUGCAAAGUAGUAUUAUUCAUUUGUUUCAGAGCCAUAGUUUAUUCAGUCAUUAUGGACAUAAACUGAGUAAUUAGUUACACUGCCAGUUGAUGCCUAAAAAUAAUUCUUAGGCAGUGCUUGAAUUACUUGCCUUCUGUUGAGAUAAAUAGUUUCAUCAUAGCACGAUUGGUGAUUAAAUCAUUAAAGUGGAUUUUAUAUAUUAUAGCCUGAUUCAAUAUCCUACCAUUUGCAAAACACAUCCUAUGUAGACAAACUUGUAUCCAGAUAUAUCUUUUACAGACCCCAUCUGAAGACCUCAGAACUAAUGAAUUAGCACUAUGUGGUUUGUUCUCCAAUUAUUGUACUUAUCAAAGAAAGCCAUCUGUGGUCUUUGUUUUACUGAGUUUCAGGGAAUCAGAUCACUCACAUGCCUCAUGGGAAAGUUCUAGUUAUGAAACCAAAAGGCAUCAUGCAAGGUAUGAUAUGAAAGAAGAAGCAAUAAAUCUGUUUCGUUUUGUACCUUCUAUCUUUGAUACUGUACCUCAUUAAUUCCCCCUUUUGCUAUUCAGUUUCAAGUCCUUUAUUGCAUUGUUUCUUUCUUGUCUCAUUUAUACUGUCCUGUUCACAUUUCUCUGUUUCUUUCCUCUGUGCUGUAGCAACAGAACUGGAGUCUUAAGUUUCAAACUACUGCCAAAAUCUAGAUGCUCACACUUGAAAAUGUUCACGUGUGUGUCCAGCCAGGCGAAGUGUCUUUUCAUGCGUACUGGCCAAUGUUCUCAUGGCUGGAGACUUCAUUCACCGACUGUCUCACACCCACAUCCCCACAAGCACCAAGAUAUCAGUGCUCACAUGGUUUGUCUCGGUGCACCUGUGGAUGACAGAGAACAAAGGCAACCCCAGCAAUCAAACCCUCAUGAUGUCUCUGGAAAUCUUUUUUUCUGGUGACAGCAAACUUGACUCUGGACAACCCUUUUAGUCCCUGUACAAGCCAAUAGUUGUUACAGGAAGAUCCUUUGCUUGAGAAUCGCAGUCAUCAUAGACUCCAUGCUCUGAUUAGGAUGCAUACUCAUGGUGACAUUUUUACCUUGCUUUGGGAAUUCCAGAAUUUCCAUAUUGUCCCAUCACACUGAAAUAACUUUUGAGUGCUUUCUUCAUAAUGCAAAAGCCCCUUUAAAUGUGGUGUACAGGCCUUUGGAAAAGAGUAGAAGUCCUGGAAAAAGAAAUGUCAUUUGAACAUUUGAAGGAAUAUAAUAAUAACACAAAACAAACAGGCUACAUGAAACAGACUAAACAGGUAUUAUUAAAACUUUAUGACAUGAACACUCUUCAAGGGCUGAGUUCAUCUGUGUAUUGGUUAAACUCAGUGUUGGAGUGGGAAGGGUUAGGCUGCAGAUUUCAGAGGUGUUAAAUCAUUUUGGAAAACAGAGUGACUGAAAACAGAUGGUGAAAAUGCCUGUGAAACAAAAGGUUUCAUACCUGAUGUCUUGAGCUUGGUUCAGAUGCCAGUUCUGCCUUAUCAGCUUGUGGGAUUUCUGUCUUCGUAGAGGAGACAACAUUUAUCUGUGGCUGUGCUUGGUUAAUUACUGGCACUUGAGCCUUCUUGUUUGCUUUAGCUGAUGGGGUGUCAUCCUCUAUUUUGAGUGAUACCAUUCCAUGAUACUUUGUUUUACAGUAUCACACAUACACACAAGUAGAACAGGAGAGGGGAAAGAGAGGGUUAGCACAUACAAGCAACUCUUAAAUAAACUCCACCAAAAAAAAGGCAUAAUACAAAUUGUUGCAAAUCAAGGGGAACUGACACCAAAGGAAAAGAAAGACAUAUUUAAAAAAUAAAGUUUUGGUCAUAAUUUGUCACUGAAUUAUUAACAGUGAUAAAGCCUGCAAAGAACAGAAUCAGAAAGAAAUCACAGAAAUGUCUGAGCAAUACUCAUAACACUCUUACUUUGAAAACCACAUCGGUUCCAUUUCUAAAUACAGAUGAAGGAUGAAUCUGAAAAAGUAGAAUAGCAGAAUGAGAUAGGCAUAUUCAUGCAUUGUAGAAACAAAAAGACUUUAUGCAAGAUUUACAAGAAGAUCUAGGUUACAAAUCACGUGUAACAUAUCUUGGGUUUCAUUCUUUCUCUUUCAGAAAGGAAAUUUAUCACAUCUGAGAACAGCCCUUAAAAAUCACACAUUACAAGUGCAUUUAUAAAGAGAUUCCAUUCACUUGUAAGAUCACAAUAGCGGAAUGUUACUAAACCACCUAGUUAAACCAAUGUAGCUUAAGCAGGAAAAGCAAUGGGCAAGUUUUAAGUAACUGUUCCCUGUUUAAGCUAACACUAUUUUCAGCAUUACAACUUCAGAAGCAGAUGCACAGCUUCUGUACAUUGACCUGGCUCCAGUGACUUCUUUCUUCUAGCUGAAGACAUAAGACAAGAUUAGAAGCUGCAUAAUUGCUGAAGUUGCUUGAUGUAUGUUUCCUCCCCUAACUCUGUUCUGAUUCCUCUCUUGGAUACAUGGAUAUUCAAAAUCAGGAUUUAUUUUUAAUAUCUUCCCCCCCCACCCCAUGUAUUUUUAAAUAGCUCUCAGGUCUGACUCAAAGCAAGCUUAGGUACUUUAUGGUUAUUGUAUGGUCAGGUAGGAUCAUUACAAAAACAUGACAACUAAAUGGAGAUAUCAAAUCCCAAUGAAUUCACAAAUCAGUCCAUCACUGCAGUACAGAACUGUCUUACUAUUCUGCCAUUUCCAGUCACUCUCAGCCUGGUCCGUGACUGAUUUGCCAAGCUGUGUCCCUGCCGUGGGUCCCCUCCAUGCUUUCUCAUCCCUUUGGAAGGAGACGGUGGGAUCCCUUCCAAGGGACCACUGCCAGGCCUGGGAGGUGAUGAGGAGCCCGAGGAUACUGGAAACAGCAUGCCUCUCCCCCAGAAGUCGUGCUUGCUUUGGCCAGAAGAAUGGGAAUAGUUGCACUGACCUGAAAGCAUAAAAAAAUGGCAGAUGGUCAGUUCUAACUGCAUGAGCAGAUAACUGGUCACGUUGACAUGGGCGCAUAAACAGCUUGUCAUUAAAAGUUGGAUGAUUCUUUCACUUGAUGUGGUUGAUUUGCUGUUUGCUCAUUUGUGGGGUUUGCCACGACUCUGACUGCAACUACUACCUGUAUCUAUAUGUUUUUAUAUGUAAUGCAUCUGUUUACCCACAGAACAGAGUUUCAACCAACAUCUGCUGAAAAGACCUGUUUUCAUCCAGAUACUGGGGUUUGGAAUGCUGAUUUUUUUGGUCAUGGAUAGACAGGUAUCUUUAACUAAUGGUGAUGAUACUUUGAUAGUGCCCAAACAAAUUUCUCUUAAAAAAUCCAGGACACUAUUGUUCCUACAAACUAGUUGUGUCAAUUAACCCCUGAUUUAUAUAAUGAAUAUUAAAGAGAAAAGAGGUCUGAAAUUUUAAAGGAAUUUUUCUAAAAUGAAGCUUAAUCCAUUGCAACAGAGGUAUUUAAAAUAUUGUUUCACUAAACACCAGAAGAAAAAAACACUGUUCAGCUUUCAGAGCACUCAGCUGCUUUCCUAGUUAUAUGUAUUUUUCUACAGUUUCUUCUUUUUUGGUGUGAUAUUAGGCACACCACAUUUGAUCACUGAAAAACACAAUAAUAAUGCAGACAUAAAAGCCUGAAGUCUGUAAUGAUCACUGCUGUGUGCUGUAAUGUUGUGGACUGUGUUUGUCAAGCAUUAGAAAAUGUAUUUCUAAGAGCUGGGUUUAGUUGUUAGGUUUCUUUCCUUGAGAGGAAAAUAAAUCUUUUUCAGAGAUGUAUAACAACUGUUAAACAAUAAGUGGGAAAAAAAUUCUAAUGGACCUACACCCCCAUUUUUUCCCACUUUAACAAAUGAGAACUGAACUCGUGUUGUUACGAAAAGUGGUUUCUUUCCUUGCACCCUUCUCAUUUCGUACUUGUUGCUUUCUCCAUGCUGUGUUUCCUGAGAGGAUGAAUAUGAUUGUGUGUGAGAAUAAAGGGUCUGCAAGCA